rnacentral:rRNA from 1 species
CAGCAGCCGCGGGAAUACGAAGGGUGCAAGCGUUAAUCGGAAUUACUGGGCGUAAAGCGUGCGUAGGCGGUGAGUUAAGUCUGCUGUGAAAUCCCCGGGCUCAACCUGGGAAUGGCAGUGGAUACUGGCUCGCUAGAGUGUGUCAGAGGAUGGUGGAAUUCCCGGUGUAGCGGUGAAAUGCGUAGAGAUCGGGAGGAACAUCAGUGGCGAAGGCGGCCAUCUGGGACAACACUGACGCUGAGGCACGAAAGCGUGGGGAGCAAACAGGAUUAAAUACCCCUGUAGUCCCUGUCUCUUAUAC